GGUUAAGCGACUAAGCGUACACGGUGGAUGCCCUGGCAGUCAGAGGCGAUGAAGGGCGUGCUAAUCUGCGAUAAGCGCCGGUAAGGUGAUAUGAACCGUUAUAACCGGCGAUACCCGAAUGGGGAAACCCAGUGUGACUCGUCACACUAUCAU
rnacentral:rRNA from 1 species